UACAGAGAGUGCAAGCGUUAAUCGGAAUUACUGGGCGUAAAGCGUACGUAGGUGGAUGUUUAAGUCAGAUGUGAAAGCCCCGGGCUUAACCUGGGAAUUGCAUUUGAUACUGGGCGUCUAGAGUAUAGUAGAGGGAAGUGGAAUUUCUGGUGUAGCGGUGAAAUGCGUAGAUAUCAGAAGGAACAUCAGUGGCGAAGGCGGCUUCCUGGACUAAUACUGACACUUAGGUACGAAAGCGUGGGGAGCAAACAGG
rnacentral:rRNA from 1 species